ensembl:lncRNA
AUGGCCGGCGUGACGGGGGAAGGGAGGGGGCGGACACCGAACAGUGUGGGGGUUCACACAUACACUGCAGGACGGUCUGAAUCCAUCCGCUGCUCCCUGCAGUGCGACCCGUCCCGACUGGCCCGAGCCGCGCCGCCCGUGACCCCCUUAUGCUGCAGGACCAGCAGCGUGGCGGGGGGGGGGGGGGUCACCCCGGGGUCACCCCACGGGGGGCGGUGGAGGGCUGGCGAAGCCCCGCCCCUCAGGCUGGCGUUCUUCCUGGCCCCGCCCCCUGUGGGUCGGAACUAUGCUGGGCCUGGCGGGAGGUGGGUGCGGGGCAUCAAGCCCAUUAUUGCCGUAUCCCUCCGCCCCCCACUUCCCGACACCCUUGCAGCGAGUGGUCGGUGCUGCAGCCUGCACAUCCUCUGCUGGGUUUGGCGCCGCGGUGCAGUGGGCCACACGCCUCUUUGCUGUUCUACCCGCACGCCGAGCGGUGGGAAGCGAAAGAGAAACUGCGACCGGAGUGGGAGGACGACCACCGGGACCUUGCGCCUCCGAAGAAUUGGAGGUGGAAAAGCUGAACUGGGAGAUAAAGGUGCGAGAGAAGUCAUAAAUACAAGUACCACUACACAAACUAGAAUAUGUGGGUGCUCUUCCCCCAGUUUGUUGUGCAGCACAAAGGAGGUGAACAACAAGUGGUGAAUCUUCAGAAUUGAAGAAGAGAGUAAGAGGAGUGUGAUAUAAUGUUGAGGGGUUAUCCAGAAACCUGGUCCAGAUGGCCUAAGUUAAAAGGGAAUAGUCUACCUAAUGGAACUCUUACAUGUUAAAAGGCAGGUAACUUGGGAACUCCUGUGUUUGUGGUGUUUGUCUGUCCCCCAAGUACUCAGUUGCUGCUUUUAUUUCUUGACUGUCUUACCUUUUCAUCUGUUUUUCCAUAGGCCUGCUUUAAGUCUGGUCACUUCUGCAAGGAAGGAAAGGAGGAGGAGUCCGGUUCAAAUCUCUGGAGGUUUGUGCAAAGAGGGGCAACACAGGAGACAGCUACAGAGUAAUAUGGCAGAUAUCUUUGAUCCAAGUGGUUGCAGGGCCUUCUCUACCUCACCUACUCCAUGUCAAGUUUGCACACUGCCACAGAAACCCUCGCAUUUCCUGCAGGGUAUACUAGGAAUAUUGGAGUAGGUGUGGACUGGGCUGUGAAUGGGAGAGAAAUACUUGAGAGUAGAGACCAGGAGACAGAAAAUAUUAGGCAUAUUAGACCUUUAAAAGAGAAAGAUGUUUGUAUCGGGGUCAGGGUUCUCACUUGUCUUUCUAGCAGUUAGGCUCCAUUCUCUAUUAUAUGUUUACUUGUUCUCAGGAUAGCCUACAGGCUGCUGUAGAGUUUGACACCACUGGAAUCAAAGAAAGGAGCAAGAAAUUGUGCUACAUCAGUGCAGGUUGGUAUGGGAGCGGGUACAGCUUUUGGGUGGGGUAGAAGAGACCAGCAUAAGUCCAGCAGUGACUAGGGUCUGGCCUUGGGGCUCCUCAGCCUCUCUCAUUGCCAAUUUCCACCAACUUCAUACCUAUUUUAUAACAGGCAAAGUAAUAUGGCAGCUCUAGGGAUAAAAAUUGUAGACAAAAUGAAGGUGAUAGACUUUAAUAGCCUAACUUUCCCACCAAGCAUUUAAGGUCUAGUCUCUCUGUGUGAGUUUUUGCAUGGAGUGAGACAGUUGGAAACGACUCAAACCUCCAUGUCAUUCUCACUUCCCAGAUUGACUUCCAGUGGCAGCUCUGGUGGUGUUGGAAUUGCUGCUGAGCACUACCUUCAACAGGUGUGUACCUACCCAGGAACCAUCCAUCCUCUCCCAGCUUGGUUGUGUUUUCUCUUCACUCUGACUGUAAUAUUGACUGAGGCUGGGAUUGGAAAGGAGGCUUAUUGACUGCUGGACUGGUGAUUGGCUCUAACUUUUCUUUCCAACUGUAUCACCUGAGUCAUCAAAAAAUUAGAGUGUGAAGAUACAAAACUGUGAGAAAUCUGUGGUAGAAGCUGAGACUGGGAUAGUUGUAGUUAUUCAG